rnacentral:rRNA from 1 species
CCUGGGAGGCAGCAGUGAGGAAUAUUGGUCAAUGGCCGUAAGGCUGAACCAGCCAAGUCGCGUGAAGGAAGAAGGAUCUAUGGUUUGUAAACUUCUUUUAUAGGGGAAUAAAGGUAUCCACGUGUGGAUAUUUGCAUGUACCCUAUGAAUAAGGAUCGGCUAACUCCGUGCCAGCAGCCGCGGUAAUACGGAGGAUCCGAGCGUUAUCCGGAUUUAUUGGGUUUAAAGGGAGCGUAGAUGGGUUGUUAAGUCAGUUGUGAAAGUUUGCGGCUCAACCGUAAAAUUGCAAUUGAUACUGGCAGUCUUGAGUACAGUUGAGGUAAGCGGAAUUCGUGGUGUAGCGGUGAAAUGCUUAGAUAUCACGAAGAACCCCGAUUGCGAAGGCAGCUUACUAAACUGUGACUGACAUUGAUGCUCGAAAGUGUGGGUAUCAAACAGGAUUAGAUACCCUGGUAGUC